rnacentral:misc_RNA from 1 species
CAAGCGCAAAAGUUGUAAGAAAAGUAAGAAAAUCUGGGAGUCAAACUACCGCUCUCAGCCCUACAGUACCCAUGUGUACUCGCUCUCACUGACAAGAAAGCCUUCUGUUUUGUCACGUGUUUGAAUCUCAGUUGCUCGUGUAUUUUACACAUUGGGUUGGAGAGUGGGAGGGAGGGUGGAUGACUGGAAAAGGAUUCUAAGCCGGGAAGGUUAUUUGAGGGCAAGAAAAGAAAAGACAGAGAAAAAAAAAACGGAUUUUUCGGUAGAAGGUUAGAAGUAGAAAGAAAGAAUGAAUGCGAGAGAGAGAGAUUAUUGAGAAAAAGGAUUAAUCGUUAUCGAGGGAAGCUGGAAAGAAAUCACCAGGAAAGAUACGAGAAACAGAGAGAUUUUUAGGGUUUUAAUUGUCUUCAAAUUUCGCAAGAAGGUUCAGAGAGAGAGAUGGCUUUGGCUAUGGCUUCUUCUUCUUCGGCUGUUGUCGCGGUGGAUAAGGCGACGAGUGAACUUCUAAUCGGUCCUGAUUGGACUAUGAAUAUUGAUAUUUGUGAUUCUGUCAAUUCAAAUCGUUGGCUGGCGAAAGAUGUUGUGAAAGCUGUGAAAAAAAGGUUGCAACACAAGAACCCUAAAGUGCAACUGCUGGCUUUAACGGUACUUUUGUUGGAGGAAUUCUAUGUUAUAUUUUAAUUUAAUUGGGCACAUUUCUUGUGUCUGUAUACAAGAACUUUGGUUUUUUCCCCCAUCAUCUGUGUCAUGAUUUGGAAUUUUAGUAAGUUUGGGAUUUUGGAUAUUAUGAUGCCACUUUGUACAAUUUUUCUCCUUUUCUAAUGAUUAUAAUUGCAUUUGAAAUCUGGCUUGUAGCUUUUAGAAACAAUGGUGAAGAACUGUGGUGAUUAUGUCCAUUUCCAAAUUGCUGAAAAGAAUAUAUUGGGAGAGAUGGUCAAAAUUGUAAAAAAGAAGACCAAUAUGCAUGUAAGAGAUAAAAUUCUGGUCUUGUUGGAUUCUUGGCAAGAGGCAUUUGGAGGGCCAAGAGGAAAACAUCCUCAGUACUAUUGGGCAUGUGAAGAACUAAGGCGUGCCGGAGUUGUAUUCCCCCAGCGUUCCUUAGAUGCAGCUCCAAUAUUUACACCCCCCGUUGCACAUUCAACAUUGAGGCAUGCCCAAGUUGGACGUGGAAUGCCUAGCAAUUCUUCUAGAAGGCUUGAUGAAACAAUGGCAACAGAGUUUGAAGGCUUAAGCUUGUCAGGUUUGGAUUCCAUGCGGAAUGUUAUGGAGCUCUUGAAUGACAUGCUGCAAGCAGUGAACCCUGAUGAUCGUGAGGCUUUAAAAGAUGAAAUUAUAGUUGAUCUUGUCAAUCGGUGUCGGUCCAACCAAAAAAAGUUGAUGCAGAUGCUAACUACAACUGGGGACGAGGAACUUCUUGAUCGGGGUCUUGAAUUAAAUGACAGCCUGCAAAUCUUGCUUGCAAAACAUGAUGCUAUAGCUUCUGGUUCUCUUAUGCCAACUCAAGUUAAUAAUUUAGGUGCCAAGCCAAGCGAAGGUUCCUCCAAUAUCAUAUCGACUGAAGUAAAAGGCUCCUGCCCAAGUUCUAGCGCUAAUGCCACUGUGUCAGUUGCAAAUGUAACAAGGAGCCCUAUUGCCGAAGAAGAUGAAGAGGAGGAUGACUUUGCACAGCUUGCUCGGAGGCAUUCAAAAACACAGUCAAGUCCAUCUCAAAGCAAAUGUGGAACCAGCAUGGCACUCGUGCCAGUGGAUACCAAUAAUGCGGCUUCUUCUACAACCACUGUUUCAACCCCUACACCAGUUAGUACGACAAAAGAACAGGAAAUAAUUGACCUUCUAAGUAUCACCUUAUCAACAACAGCAUCCCAUCAUCCCCAAACACUACAUACUUCAACAUCUGCUGACCAGAGCAUGCCUCAAGUUUCAACCUCAAGCACACAAGGGUAUCCUUAUAUUUCCCAAAAUUAUCCUGGAAACCAAGGGCAAGCAACUUACAACAAUUAUGUCGUUCCAUGGGCCCAACCUCAAACCCAGCACCAGUUGCAAGUUCCAUCUCAGCCACAUUUACAACCUCAAAUCCGGCAACAAUUGCAACCUCAAUUUCAAUCACAACCACACUCUCAGCCUCAGCAGCAAUUUCAAUUUCAGUCUCAACCAUAUACUCAGCCCCAACCUCUGCACCAAUUUCAACCUCAAUCUCAACCACAAACACAGCCUCAGCCUCAACCUCAGCAACAGUUUCAAUCUCAAUCACAAGCACAACCACAACCACGUGCUCAGCCUCAGCAGCAAUUUCAACCUCAAUCUCAGCCAAAACCACAUACCCAACCUCAGCAACAAUUCCGACCUCAAUCCCAGCUUCAGUUUCAGCAACAAUUGCAGUCAAAGUAUCCUCAAUACUCAUCUGGCUAUCCCCCUCCGCCCUGGGCAGCUACAACUGGUUAUGCCAAUGGCCAAAGUCAUAUGUCUGCUACUACUAACAUGUUCUCAACCCCACAAGCCAACACAACUACAUCUUAUGCACCCUCACAAGCAGCUAGGCCCAUGCAACAUUAUAACUCCUUUACUCCUAGAGGAAGCAAUGGGUUAGCCAUGAAUGGUGAUCCUAUUGUGAAUUCUGGACUUAGGAACCCUGCACCUCCAGGACAGAAGCCCUUUAUUCCCUCAUACAGAUUAUUUGAAGAUCUAAAUGUUCUUGGCAAUGCAGAUGGAAGGUUUAAGAUGAAUGGCAGUACAUCACCCAGCUUGUCAGGACAUUCUAGCCAAGGGAUGGUAGGUGGGCGGAAGUGAAAUGCUAGCGGUGGAAAGCAUAAAAUGGAUAUAUUGUUAUGAAUAUGAUCAAUAUUGGUGUGUUCUUUCAGUUUGGAAUAUAUGUAAAAGGAGUUCUUUAGAGUGGUAAUUGCUCCAUCUGUGGUUUCUAGCAGUUGCUACAGUGCUUGUCUACCAUUCUUCUCGACCCAUGACAAUCGGUUGUUUCUCGUGGUCUUCUGAGCGUCCUUCUUGUGGAGUGUCAAAAAUGGCUUUCAUUUACUUCCACAAGGGGUGUAUCCAGAUUAAGUCGAGCAAUGCCGCCAUUUAUUCUCCUAGGUGUGUCGUGCUCGACUUGAGUAUUACUGUUUGGAUAUGAUGCCUUGGUUCUCUAAUGCGGAUCAAAUAAUGUAAGUGCCUCUCUAGCGUGGAGAAAAUUAUUAGAUUGGACUGGAUGAUCUAAUUUCACAUAAAAUAUGAUUUCCAUGUAAAUUCCGUACAUGGGAUGAUAAUUUGGGCAGAAUUUAUGCUGUUAACAAUGGUUUACAGUUAAUAACUUGAUAGCCGGUAGUUGUUAGCUAAUAAAUAUUAAUAGGAUCAUGCUAAAUAAUUCCAAGGGUAGUUUAUAUUUAUUUAUGUUCUCUUG